rnacentral:rRNA from 1 species
AUUGAACGCUGGCGGCAUGCCUAACACAUGCAAGUCGAACGGGGCAGCAAUGCCUAGUGGCGGACGGGUGAGGAAUACGUAGGAAUCUGCCCUUAAGUGGGGGAUAACCAGGGGAAACCCUGACUAAUACCGCAUGAUCUCUUCGGAGCAAAGAGGGGGACCGCAAGGCCUCUCGCUUCUGGAUGAGCCUACGUCUGAUUAGCUAGUUGGUAGGGUAAAGGCCUACCAAGGCGACGAUCAGUAACUGGUCUGAGAGGAUGAUCAGUCACACCGGAACUGAGACACGGUCCGGACUCCUACGGGAGGCAGCAGUGGGGAAUAUUGGACAAUGGGGGCAACCCUGAUCCAGCGAUGCCGCGUGAGUGAAGAAGGCCUUCGGGUCGUAAAGCUCUUUAGGUUGGGAAGAAGUGUAUUGGCUGAAUAAUCCAGUACAUUGACGGUACCGACAGAAUAAGCACCGGCAAACUCUGUGCCAGCCGCCGCCGUAAUAC